UACGGGGGGGGCAAGCGUUGUUCGGAAUUAUUGGGCGUAAAGGGUUCGUAGGUGGCCGGCUAAGUCAGACGUGAAAUCCCUCAGCUUAACUGGGGAACUGCGUCUGAGACUGGUCGGCUUGAGUGCAGGAGAGGAACGCGGAAUUCCAGGUGUAGCGGUGAAAUGCGUAGAUAUCUGGAGGAACACCGGUGGCGAAGGCGGCGUUCUGGACUGUAACUGACACUGAGGAACGAAAGCCAGGGGAGCAAACGGG
rnacentral:rRNA from 1 species